UACGGGGGGGGCAAGCGUUGUUCGGAAUUACUGGGCGUAAAGGGCUCGUAGGCGGCCAACUAAGUCAGACGUGAAAUCCCUCGGCUUAACCGGGGAACUGCAUCUGAUACUGGAUGGCUUGAGUUCGGGAGAGGGAUGCGGAAUUCCAGGUGUAGCGGUGAAAUGCGUAGAUAUCUGGAGGAACACCGGUGGCGAAGGCGGCAUCCUGGACCGACACUGACGCUAAGGAGCGAAAGCCAGGGGAGCAAACGGG
rnacentral:rRNA from 1 species